rnacentral:rRNA from 1 species
AACGAACGCUGGCGGCAUGCCUAACACAUGCAAGUCGAACGAGACCUUCGGGUCUAGUUGCUCACGGGUGCGUCACGCGUCGGAAGCUUCCCGUAGGCUCGGAAUAACUCCUCUACGUGGGUGCUAAUGCCGGGUAACGUACUCGGACACAGGAUUUAUCGUCCUUGUAUGAGCCGGCGUUGGUCUAGCUUGUUGGGAGGGUAAAAGCCUACCACGGCGACGCUCCAUAGCUGGGUUGAGAGGAUGAGCAGCCACACUGGGACUGAGACACGGCCCAGACUCCUACGGGAGGCAGGAGUGGGGAAUAUUGGACUAUGGGCGAAAGGCUGAUCCAGCAAUGCCGCGUGAGUGAUGAAGGUGGUAGGGUUGUACAGCUGUUUUACCCGGGAUGAUACUGACAGUACCGGGAGAAUAAGCACCGGCUAACUCCGUG